UUUAAUUAUUGAUUAGUCUCAUAAUUUCAUAUUAUCUUUUAUUACCAGCGGUAAUUCUAAACGUUUUAUUCAGCUUAUGAUAGUUUGAGGUUAAGAUUACUGUACUGUUAGAGCCAAUCGCAGGUGUAGAUUUCGUGUUUUAGAACAGGAUGGGUGUUUUUACUUUUAAAGUAGUUAAGUAGUCACUUUCGAGUUCAUCCUUUUAUUUUCUUGAGUUUACUUAAUUGGAUUCAAGGGGUUAAAUUGCAAUUUGUUACUUUAACAUCUUUACCUAUUUUUCCUUGGUAAAUUAAGGGUUCAUUUAUGUAUUCUUUAUCAUUUCUUCGCUAUUUAUGUUCAAAAAUUUAAUUCAACGGAAAAUAGAAAUAGUAAUUUAUCAGAAAUGACACAAUUUUUAGUCCACUUCAAACCAGGAGUGCUGUACGCAUUGGCUGCAUCUUGUUAUCUCUUAGAGUAUUCAAAAUCUCGUCCUUGUAUCGUUUGUAAACUUUUAGUCGGACUUUAGUUAAAAAGAAAUAAGCUUCGUUUAAUACUACAUAUAAUGCUGCAAUACUUAAGCGACUGGGCUCCCUUCACGGAGAGGGAGACGUACCGUUUUUUAUAUUCGAAGAAUUGUCGAAGUAACUCAAGAAAUGACUUCAAAACGAUCUUUACCAGUUACACUACAAUACUUACUUUUUGUGUUAAACUGGAAGACAUAGAAAAAUAGUUAAAAGUAGCAUCCAUUUC